rnacentral:rRNA from 1 species
AGAACGAACGUUGGCGGCGUGGAUUAGGCAUGCAAGUCGAACGAAUCCCCGUGGGGGUAACUCUGCGGGGGGAAGUGGCGAACGGGGCAGUAAGGCGUGGGUAACCUACCCUGGGGACGGGGAUAGCCUUCCUAACGGAAGGGUAAUACCCGGCGACGUAGCGAGGGCGCAUGCCCUUGUUACCAAAUGAGUUUCGCCCUGGGAGGGGCUCACGUGGUAUUAGCUGGACGGCGGGGUAACGGCCCACCGUGGCCAAGAUGCCUAGCAGGUGUGAGAGCACGACCUGCGCCACUGGCACUGUGACACUGGCCAGACUCCUACGGGAGGCUGCAGUCGAGGAUCUUCGGCAAUGGGCGCAAGCCUGACCGAGCGACGCCGCGUGUGCGAUGAAGGCCUUCGGGUUGUAAAGCACUGUCGAGGGAAGAAAGCCGCAAGGGUUGAUCGACCCUGGAGGAGCACGGGCUAAGUUCGUGCCAGCAGCCGC